UGGAGUAUGUGGUUUAAUCGAUGCAACGCGAAGAACCUUACCUGGUCUUGACAUCCCGGAGACCCUUAGGAAACUAGGGGUGCUUCCAUCUGGAAGAAUCUGGAGACAGGUGCUGCAUGGCUGUCGUCAGCUCGUGUCGUGAGAUGUUGGGUUAAGUCCCGCAACGAGCGCAACCCUUGCCUUUAGUUGCCAGCAGUUCGGCUGGGCACUCUAAAGGGACUGCCGGUGUUAAACCGGAGGAAGGUGGGGAUGACGUCAAGUCCUCAUGGCCUUUAUGACCAGGGCUACACACGUACUACAAUGGCCGAUACAAAGGGCAGCGACACUGCGAGGUGAAGCCAAUCCCGUAAAAUCGGUCUCAGUCCGGAUUGGAGUCUGCAACUCGACUCCAUGAAGUUGGAAUCGCUAGUAAUCGUGGAUCAGCAUGCCACGGUGAAUACGUUCCCGGGCCUU
rnacentral:rRNA from 1 species